GAGGCUUAGUAGCUAGCCCAUAAAUACAAUAGCAACAACUCAUCAUAAAUAACCCCUCAUCCAACAAAUAAAUAAAACAAACCAUUUUUCCUCCUUAGUAUAGGCGACAGAAAAGGAAAUAGGAGCAAUAAGAAAAGUACCGCAAGGGACUGCUGAAAGAGAAAUGAAAAAACCCAGUAAAGCCUAAAAAAGCAGAGACUAAACCUCGUACCUUUUGCAUCAUGAUUUAGCCAGUGUAAACCAAGCAAAGCGAACUUUAGCUUGCCACCCGAAACUAAGUGAGCUACUCCAAGACAGCCUACAUAAAGGGCCAACCCGUCUCUGUGGCAAAAGAGUGGGAAGAGCUUCGAGUAGCGGUGACAAACCUACCGAACUUAGUUAUAGCUGGUUGCCUAAGAACCGGAUAGAAGUUCAGCCCUUAAGUUUUCUCUAUUCCUGUUAGUACUACCCCUAUUGAUACAAGAAACUUAAGGAGUUAUUCAAAGGGGGUACAGCCCCUUUGAAAUAAGAUACAACUUUUUAGGAGGAUAAAGAUCAUA
rnacentral:rRNA from 1 species